CAUGCAGUCGAACGAUGAACUGGAGCUUGCUCCAGGGAUUAGUGGCGAACGGGUGAGUAACACGUGAGUAACCUGCCCUUGACUCUGGGAUAAGCGCUAGAAAUGGCGUCUAAUACCGGAUACGAGCUUCAGCCGCAUGGCUAGGAGUUGGAAAGAAUUUUGGUCAAGGAUGGACUCGCGGCCUAUCAGCUAGUUGGUGAGGUAAUGGCUCACCAAGGCGACGACGGGUAGCCGGCCUGAGAGGGUGAUCGGCCACACUGGGACUGAGACACGGCCCAGACUCCUACGGGAGGCAGCAGUGGGGAAUAUUGCACAAUGGGCGAAAGCCUGAUGCAGCAACGCCGCGUGAGGGAUGACGGCCUUCGGGUUGUAAACCUCUUUUAGUAGGGAAGAAGCGAAAGUGACGGUACCUGCAGAAAAAGCACCGGCUAACUACGUGCCAGCAGCCGCGGUAAUACGUAGGGUGCAAGCGUUGUCCGGAAUUAUUGGGCGUAAAGAGCUCGUAGGCGGUUUGUCGCGUCUGCUGUGAAAUCUGGGGGCUCAACCCCCAGCCUGCAGUGGGUACGGGCAGACUAGAGUGCGGUAGGGGAGAUUGGAAUUCCUGGUGUAGCGGUGGAAUGCGCAGAUAUCAGGAGGAACACCGAUGGCGAAGGCAGAUCUCUGGGCCGUAACUGACGCUGAGGAGCGAAAGCAUGGGGAGCGAACAGGAUUAGAUACCCUGGUAGUCCAUGCCGUAAACGUUUGGGAACUAGAUGUGGGGGCCAUUCCACGGUCUCCGUGUCGCAGCUAACGCAUUAAGUUCCCCGCCUGGGGAGUACGGCCGCAAGGCUAAAACUCAAAGGAAUUGACGGGGGCCCGCACAAGCGGCGGAGCAUGCGGAUUAAUUCGAUGCAACGCGAAGAACCUUACCAAGGCUUGACAUAUACCGGAAACGUCCAGAGAUGGUCGCCCCGCAAGGUCGGUAUACAGGUGGUGCAUGGUUGUCGUCAGCUCGUGUUGUGAGAUGUUGGGUUAAGUCCCGCAACGAGCGCAACCCUCGUUCUAUGUUGCCAGCACGUUAUGGUGGGAACUCAUAGGAGACUGCCGGGGUCAACUCGGAGGAAGGUGGGGAUGACGCCAAAUCAUCAUGCCCCUUAUGUCUUGGGCUUCACGCAUGCUACAAUGGCCGGUACAAAGGGCUGCGAUACCGUAAGGUGGAGCGAAUCCCAAAAAGCCGGUCUCAGUUCGGAUUGAGGUCUGCAACUCGACCUCAUGAAGUCGGAGUCGCUAGUAAUCGCAGAUCAGCAACGCUGCGGUGAAUACGUUCCCGGGCCUUGUACACACCGCCCGUCAAGUCAUGGAAGUCGGUAACACCCGAAGCCGGUGGCCUAACCCCUUGUGGGAGG
rnacentral:rRNA from 1 species